UAGGGAAUCUUCCGCAAUGGGCGAAAGCUUGACGGAGCAACGCCGCGUGAGUGAUGAAGGUCUUCGGAUCGUAAAACUCUGUUAUUAGGGAAGAACAAAUGUGUAAGUAACUAUGCACGUCUUGACGGUACCUAAUCAGAAAGCCACGGCUAACUACGUGCCAGCAGCCGCGGUAAUACGUAGGUGGCAAGCGUUAUCCAGAAUUAUUGGGCGUAAAGCGCGCGUAGGCGGUUUUUUAAGUCUGAUGUGAAAGUCCACGGCUCAACCGUGGAGGGUCAUUGGAAACUGGAAAACUUGAGUGCAGAAGAGGAAAGUGGAAUUCCAUGUGUAGCGGUGAAAUGCGCAGAGAUAUGGAGGAACACCAGUGGCGAAGGCGACUUUCUGGUCUGUAACUGACGCUGAUGUGCGAAAGCGUGGGGAUCAAACAGG
rnacentral:rRNA from 1 species